rnacentral:lncRNA from 1 species
GAUCUGAGGACGGGCGGAGCCAAUGGGGCGACGAAGAAGCAGAAGAAGAGCGGCCACCGCCGGGCUGUGGAGGAGGUCGAGGAUGACUUCGAGACCGACUUCUUGGAGUUCGAGUACGAGGCGCUGGAGUCGGAAGUGGAGGACGAGGUGGAGAUCGUGGAGAAGCCCUUCGCUUUCGCCUGCAAAGGUGAAAAAAUAUGGGUUUUGACAGUUAGUUGUUACUUCAUUGCGCGUUCUAAUCCUUCUCCGUGUAUGAACUAUGUUAUGAUACUUCCACCAAAUUCUAUUUUCUCAGCUAUUUCUUGGUACUUUGGCUCGUCACACGUCAUCAGAAAGCGAAAUCUUUCGUGCAUCCCAAUCAUUUUCCUCUAACAUAUUACACAGUGCCUUUUUUUCAAGUUAGGUAUGAGAAAUAUUUACAAGAUUUUAGUAUAUACUCUGUUUUCUGGAUUGUUCCCCGAUGGCCAAGAUCGGAUUUUUCAUCCUCUUUUUUUGGUUAAUUUGGCAAAUAAUAGCUUGAAGGUGUAAUAUUUUUCCAACAGAAUCCUUCUACUCCGAUUCCUCUUUCCUUCCCGUUUACCGGAAGACAAAAUUGUUCUUUAAUGAUUCCUUUUUUCCUUCGAUUACUGAAAUAUAUUUAUUUAUGUAUGUUGGGGAUUCUUUUCCAAUAUAGUGGAUUGUGUUCGUCUCGUUUUUCUAGUGAUGGAGGCUUUGGUUUUGCUAUAUGUAGCAUCUUCAUCUUUGUUUUGUUUCAUGGAGAUUGCUUUCCCCCCUUUGAUUAGCUUUUCAUUUCUUUGUUUGAGUUUUUCGUUUGGUUAUUUUUAUGGUUUUAGAGUGACAACAAUCAUUCUUGAUGUAGGUUUAGAAUCAUAAGAUCCAAAGCUUAUUUUGCUAUUCUCCUAAAAAAAAGUGUUUUUUUAGGAUUUUUUAAUUAGCAGCAUUUAUUCUUGAAUAUAGAUUUAGGGUCAUAAGAUGCAAAGUUCAUUUUAUUUAAUUUGUUAUUUAUUUAUUUAUAUGCUGUUGGUCGAUGCUCGUAUGCAGACUUUUGGUUGCUUUGAAGACCUUAGGCUGCUGCCCUUCAAUUGGUGGCACUGAGUUAUCUAUUAAGACCAUCCAUAUAUUAUUGGUCAUGCAAUAUCAGAAUUUAUGCAUGAUGUAAAUCAUAGAAGGAUUGGUAACUAUUGGGGUUACCUUAAAUCAAUAGCUGGUAUUAAGUCUAUGAAAUUAGAGUCUGGCUUUCCUUUGUUUUGAAAUCACUUGAAUGGAAUCUGUGUGACUACAGGAGAUCAGCAGAUACAUGCAUCAUGGAUGUUGACCAAUUGAAGAAGUUUUGAUGUGUUACAAUGAGAACUUGCCUGCCAACGUUCUAGGUUUUACGGUCCUUAAACCUUCUUUGUUGAGAGCACACCUUUCUGAAUCCUUAACUAUCUAAUAAUCUUCUCAAUUCAAACUGGAUUGAUGUUUCAGACCAUUUAGAUAGUUGUUUUAUCUCUUAAAUCCCAUAUUCUUCACUGGAUAAUGAGGAAAAGAAGCAUCCUCUUGGAGUUACAAAUGUUAGUUACUAAUAACUGCUGCACACUCUUGGCUUAAUCACAGACACAGAUCUGCUCCAGAAUCAGUUAAUGGUGACAUUUCCUAUUGUGCUUUUAGCUCUCCUGAAUUAGUAGCUCUACUGUGAAUUUUGAUGUUCUUCAGUAAAUUUUGAGAAGGUAUUACACAAUCAUCACAUGGGAAAGUCCUCUUUAAGCAUUUUUCCUAAACUUUGUAUAAUUUGUUGCUUUCUGUUCUAUUACUGCAGCAGAUGGACCAGUUGCUCUGAAACCUGUGAAAUUCAAUGGAUCUGCAGCUAGGUCUGCUAAAAAAGAGAGAAAAAAUCAAUACAGGGGAAUCCGUCAGCGUCCUUGGGGGAAAUGGGCAGCUGAAAUUAGAGAUCCUCGCAAGGGGGUUCGUGUCUGGCUUGGAACCUUCAACACUGCCGAAGAAGCUGCACGAGCAUAUGAUGCAGAGGCCCGUAGGAUCCGUGGUAAGAAAGCCAAGGUGAAUUUCCCUGAUGAAGCACCACCGAGUGUUCAAGAGUGCCCACUCAAAUCAAAUGCACCAAAAGCACCCAAGUCAAACCCACAAGAGAUGCUCAAUGUCAACCCAUAUGGGGGUAUGGAUGACCCAGAUUUAGAUUUCUGUUCUGUUUUCGACUAUAUUGAUGACAAGGAACCCGUCAAGCAAUCCAUGAACAUGGACUCCUCUGGGAUGAAUCUAUCUCCACCCAUCGAGGGACCUGCAAUUAAUUUAUACUCUGACCAGGGAAGCAACACUUUUGAUUGUUCUGGAUAUGGCUGGGAAAGUGAGGUUAAAACCCCCAAUAUCACUUCAUUUCUUGCUCCAACCAUGAAUGAAGCUGAAGGAACACCAUACCUGGAACAGGGUGGUCCACUGAAGAAACUGAAAAAUAAUUCUGGAGAAGUUGUGGCUGCCAAGAACUCUGUGGCCAAACUGUCGGAG